rnacentral:rRNA from 1 species
ACGCACGCUGGCGGCGUGCUUCACCCAUGCAAGUCGAACGGAAAGGCCCUGCUUUUGUGGGGUGCUCGAGUGGCGAACGGGUGAGUAACACGUGAGUAACCUGCCCUUGACUUUGGGAUAACUUCAGGAAACUGGGGCUAAUACCGGAUAGGAGCUCCUGCUGCAUGGUGGGGGUUGGAAAGUUUCGGCGGUUGGGGAUGGACUCGCGGCUUAUCAGCUUGUUGGUGGGGUAGUGGCUUACCAAGGCUUUGACGGGUAGCCGGCCUGAGAGGGUGACCGGCCACAUUGGGACUGAGAUACGGCCCAGACUCCUACGGGAGGCAGCAGUGGGGAAUAUUGCACAAUGGGCGGAAGCCUAAUGCAGCAACGCCGCGUGCGGGAUGACGGCCUUCGGGUUGUAAACCGCUUUCGCCUGUGACGAAGCGUGAGUGACGGUAAUGGGUAAAGAAGCACCGGCUAACUACGUG